AUUGAACGCUGGCGGCAGGCCUAACACAUGCAAGUCGAACGAGUGGCGGACGGGUGAGUAAUGUCUGGGAAACUGCCUGAUGGAGGGGGAUAACUACUGGAAACCGUAGCUAAUACCGCAUACCAUCAGAUGUGCCCAGAGGGGAUUAGGUAGGUGGUGGGGUAACGGCUCACCAAGGCGACGAUCCCUAGCAGGUCUGAGAGGAUGACCAGCCACACGUGAACUGAGACACGGUCCAGACGCCUACGGGAGGCAGCAGUGGGGAAUAUUGCACAAUGGUCGCAAGCCUGAUGCAGCCAGGCCGCGUGUAUGAAGAAGGCCUUCGGGUUGUAAAGUACUGUCAGCGGAGAGGCGUUACCCGCAGAAGAAGCACCGGCUAACUCCGUGCCAGCAGCCGCGGUAAUAC
rnacentral:rRNA from 1 species